UUCUAGCCCCGAUAGCAGUGAAAAUCCUUUUGUUUUUUUCUUUAAAAAAUAAAAGAUUGUAACGGAUAGCGGGAUUAGCU
rnacentral:sRNA from 1 species